rnacentral:lncRNA from 1 species
GUCACAGGAGAAAACAACUCACUGCGGUAUCACUAUAAUCACCAUGGGGUGUUACAUGAUCGCUGUCUUGCUUCUCCAGCGUUUUCUCGAUCUCUGAACAAUUUAUAGGUGCUGCAAAUGCAUGUAACCUGAAGCACUGCACGUCUUAUAUCACCAUGGCCUUAUCUUGACAUGUGAGAGGGAGCCGAUGAUCAUGGCUCUCAGACAGCCACUCAGCACCCGAAUGAACAGACCCUCCUCCCACCCUGCUCCCCUACCCACCCACUCCCACUUCUUGGCUGGGAAAUACAUCCCAUAAUCAGCCACCAAACGCAGACACUAUUGCAUACGCCAGCAAGAUUUGGCUGAAAGGACCCUGAUACAGCUGUCUCGAGUGAGGCUAUGCCAGUGCCUGGCAAAUACAGAAGUGGAUGCUCACAGUCAUCUAUAGGAUGGAACACAGGGCCCCCAAUGGAGGAGCUAGAGAAAGUACCCAAGGAACUGAAAAGGUCAUGUUAACUUCUUUACCUGCAUCCUGCUCUUCGGUGCUUAAGAUUAGAGCUCCUUUCUACUUGAUUCAGAUCUGAAAACACUUGGAAAUGAUCUCUGAGCACUCAGUCUCCUGGGUCUAGACUCUCAGGAGAUAACCCCCAAACUUCAGCCCUAAGGACAGGCUCGGGCGUCACUUCAGUGCUCACGUCGGACAUUUUUGUCUUUUUUAGGAUUUUCUUCGAGUCCAUCCCCUUGCCUUCCUUUCCUGCUGUUCUCUUCGCUCCCGUUCACAGCCAUCCACACACAGAACCAGAAUCUCAGAGGGAAGCAUGACCUCAUGUGUUUGUGGUCCUCAUAAACCUGCCUUGUCUUCCAUUUUAGUACUUUAAGUUGUGUUGAUAAAAACAAUAAAAUUUAUAUAGUUUAUCUCUUUACUAAAAAGAGUCAAUAUGCAUUGUUCACCAUGACUUCAGUCACCUGCACUGACUACCUACUUAAAGUGUAAGCUUUUUCUUAGAUGAAAAGAGAAGAUCAAAUGUCUGUGUAACUCUUCAUUUAACAAGCCUUCUCCUCUCCUCCUCCUCCUCCUCUUUUUUUUUUUUUUUCUGAGCUAGGAUGUCAUUAUAUCACCCACAGACUGGCCUAGAACAGACAGAGACAUGAGGACCCUCCAUGAGACACAGCACAUGUAGGCCUUAGACACCUGCUUGCUGCCAAGUCACACAGCCAAGACAGAGGAUGUCACUCAGGGUCCUGCCAGUUGUGUAACCAGUCUGCAGCAGAAAGUUCCAGAAUGUGUAAGCAUGUGGUGGACAGGACUGGUUAUUCAGGGGGAUGAUCUAUCUAUGGAGAUAAGAGGACAGUUGAUGGAUUUCUGGCCACUGGCUGCAGGCAAGGUUGGCUUGAAGUGAGGCUGCCUGGGUGUGUGCCCCUGCAGGAAAAGCAGGAGGAAGGAGCCAGGCAAAGAGGACAGCCCUGUGUGGGAAGAUGUGUCACUGGUCAUUCUUUACAAAGAAAAUAAAAAUGAGAUUUCUUGUUGG